rnacentral:lncRNA from 1 species
UGGUGGUGUUGUUCUGUAGGGUUCACCUGGCCUUCCUGGUCCACGUGGAGCAGCCCUAAACCUCUCCAUGGAGGAACUGAAGCACCUGAUUUAUUCCUCCAACAAACUGAACUACGACAUGGUCUGGGCUCUUAUGGGCAACCUGAGCCAUGAGUUGAAGCUGCUCAUCGCCCACCCAAAUGGCACCAAGGACAACCCAGCGACCACCUGCAAGGAGCUGCUCUUGGCCCAGCCUCACCUCCCGGAUGGUACAGGAACAAUCUCUUCUCCUUGGGGCAGGAGAGAGGAGUUGGGACCCAAGAUGGAAGAAGUUGUGAGGAAAGCAGGCUCCAUCUGGCCCUCAGUAGACUUGGCUUAGGCUGCAAAGUUGUAUUAUUCACUGGUGUGUAGCCACGAUGCAGCCAAUCAAGAAUAGGACCUAGAGAGAGGCAGGAUCUACAGAGGGUGCCCCUAAGCUUGGUUCCAGGCAGCGUGGUCAGUCCCAUAUUUCCUUGAGCACUGAGUUUUGCCAUUGUAAGUGGAGGAGCUUUGCCCGGCCCAUCCUGCCCUCCUCCUAAGGGGAGGGUAAUGGCAGAACAUGCAAACAGCCAGGGAUCAGCACAAAACUGUUUUCCUUCUGGACAGAGGGGCUGUUUGCUGUACUGGUCAGAAAAUCUCUCUGAGCAUAUUAUUCCUACACGUGCAGUCUCUGCAUCUCUUUCCAGUCCUAUGUCCUGGCAUCAGCAGGUCCCACUUAAAGAUAGAUAUCUCUGUUGCUCCUGAUAUAUUUUAGAUGCCAGGGAAGUCUGGCAUGGGGCAUGAAGGUGACCAGGUCAUCCCGUCAGACUCAACAGGCCUGUGAUCUCCAGGUCUGUGGUCACACAACAGGUGUCAGUGACUAUAACUGCUGUAGGGUUUGUACCCUGAUAUCAGUUGCAAGAGGCUGUGGACAGACAGGGAGCCAGAUUACAGGGUAUUGGUCAGCAGGGCCGGAUUAACCCUUUAGUGGGCCCCAGACAAGCCGAAACCCCCCUCCCCACCUCAGCAUUGCUGCCCGCAGGGAGCGAGGCUCAGAGCCACUACUAGGAAGCAGCUCCGUGGAGGGCAGGGGAAGGGAAAGGAAGGGAGGCAGACGGAGCCAUUCGCGCUGCCUUUGCAGAGGGAAGGACCAGGCCCCCACACAGCUCAGGUCCCUAGGCGUACGCCUCACUUACCUGUGUUAAUCUGGCCCUGUUGAUCAGCUCCGAGUCGGGCAGUGGCAGGGAGCAGGAAACAGGCUGAGCGAAAGGCUACCUCGGGAUAGGCAGCGAUGUGGAUUAAAACUGACUGCGCAUAGUACAUAUGCCGUGUCCCACUCAUACAUGGGAACUAUGAGGGUU